UACGUAGGGGGCUAGCGUUGUCCGGAUUUAUUGGGCGUAAAGAGCGUGUAGGCGGCCAGGUAGGUCCGCUGUGAAAACUCGAGGCUCAACUUCGAGCUGUCGGUGGAAACUUUCUGGCUAGAGUCCGGAAGAGGAGAAUGGAAUUCCUGGUGUAGCGGUGAAAUGCGCAGAUAUCAGGAAGAACACCCGUGGCGAAGGCGGUUCUCUGGGACGGUACUGACGCUGAGACGCGAAAGCGUGGGGAGCGAACAGG
rnacentral:rRNA from 1 species